rnacentral:rRNA from 1 species
UUGAACGCUGGCGGCAGGCCUAACACAUGCAAGUCGAGCGGAUGAAGGGAGCUUGCUCCUGGAUUCAGCGGCGGACGGGUAAGUAAUGCCUAGGAAUCUGCCUGGUAGUGGGGGAUAACGUCCGGAAACGGGCGCUAAUACCGCAUACGUCCUGAGGGAGAAAGUGGGGGAUCUUCGGACCUCACGCUAUCAGAUGAGCCUAGGUCGGAUUAGCUAGUUGGUGGGGUAAAGGCCUACCAAGGCGACGAUCCGUAACUGGUCUGAGAGGAUGAUCAGUCACACUGGAACUGAGACACGGUCCAGACUCCUACGGGAGGCAGCAGUGGGGAAUAUUGGACAAUGGGCGAAAGCCUGAUCCAGCCAUGCCGCGUGUGUGAAGAAGGUCUUCGGAUUGUAAAGCACUUUAAGUUGGGAGGAAGGGCAGUAAGUUAAUACCUUGCUGUUUUGACGUUACCAACAGAAUAAGCACCGGCUAACUUCGUG